rnacentral:rRNA from 1 species
AUGAUACGCGAGGAACUUACCUGGGCUCGAACGUAAGAUGACUGUAGGUGAAAGCUUACAUCUCUUCGGAGCAUUUUACGAGGUGCUGCAUGGUUGUCGUCAGCUCGUGCCGUGAGGUGUCGGUUAAGUCCCAUAACGAGCGCAACCCCUACCUUAGUUGCCAUCAGGUUAAGCUGGGGACUCUAAGGAACUGCCUACGCAAGUAGUGAGGAAGCGGGGAUGACGUCAAAUCAGCACGGCCCUUACGUCCAGGGCUACACACGUGCUACAAUGGCCGAUACAGAGGGCAGCUACCUGGUGACAGGAUGCAAAUCUCCAAAGUCGGUCUCAGUUCGGAUCGGAGUCUGCAACCCGACUCCGUGAAGUUGGAUUCGCUAGUAAUCGCGCAUCAGCCAUGGCGCGGUGAAUACGUUCCCGGGCCUU